rnacentral:rRNA from 1 species
CCUACGGGUGGCAGCAGUGAGGAAUAUUGGUCAAUGGCCGGAAGGCUGAACCAGCCAUGCCGCGUGAAGGUCAGUGCCCUAUGGGCGUUAAACUUCUUUUGUGCGGGAGCAAUAAUGGUCACGUGUGGCCAGACGAGAGUACCGUACGAAUAAGCAUCGGCUAACUCCGUGCCAGCAGCCGCGGUAAUACGGGGGAUGCAAGCGUUAUCCGGAUUUAUUGGGUUUAAAGGGUGCGUAGGCUGUGAGGUAAGUCAGCGGUGAAAUGCCCCCGCUCAACGGGGUGAAGUGCCAUUGAUACUGCCUGGCUGGAAUGCGGAUGCCGUGGGAGGAAUGUGUGGUGUAGCGGUGAAAUGCAUAGAUAUCACACAGAACACCGAUUGCGAAGGCAUCUCACGAAGCCGCGAUUGACGCUGAUGCACGAAAGCGUGGGUAUCAAACAGGAUUAGAUACCUGUGUAGUC